UUCUUGUGGUGUAUUUUCCCUUUUCCAUUUCUUUCGUUAUCACAGCAAUGGCCAAGAAGAAUCCUUAUGAUGGUUGGGGGUUAAGUGUAAUCAAAUAUAGAGUAUGCUUUCCUUUUUGUAGGAUCCCAUAAGUAAAGAUAUGUUGAUUAUUCUUUUUGAGAAUCACCUCUACCGAAUGAACGACCACGUGGAUUUUGUUCAAGUAAGAUAUCCUAGCACUACUUAAUCAAACUUUCCUUUCGUCUCUCAAUUCGGUUGCCUUCUAAGUAUUAACUCAGAUACUUUCAAGAGAGAGUUAUAUCUUGGUUUAUCAUUUAGUAUAUAGUAUAACUUAUUUUAGAUGGUUAACCAAGCUUAUCAGCAAGCACGUGAAUCAACUCGCGAGGAAUUGUUCCAGUUUAAUUAAAUAAGAACAUCUACCUACCUUACUAUUCUAUGACAUUAACAUUUCCUUGCGUUAAGGCUGUCUCUUGUAUAAAAAGAGAGGAAUAGCGGAUGCAAGAGGAGAUGAUUCAAAGUUGGAUUUGGAGGAAACAGUGAGUGAGAUCAUGAUUCAUGAAGGCACUAGGAUAGCUCCCGACCCAGUUCGAUUUUCUCAUGCAAAAGGCUCAGAGCUACCAGAAUUACCAAGUUUCUCAGGGAAGAACCCCGAAGGCUGGAUCUUCAAGGCAGAGAAAUAUUUUUCCCCACACCAUAUUGGACUUCAUUUUCUCCUGUUAUACCCUUUCCCCACACCAGGCGAAUUUCAGCCAUCAACUCCUCAACUACAAUAUAUAAUUGUUUGUCCUUGUGCAGUAGCAUGGGAGCUUAAAACAAAAUCAGGCAAUCAACUAACAACUGUUCCUAGUUCCUCGAUCGAGUCAUGUUGCAUCAGGUUUCACAUUUGAAAUUUACUUUCAAGACCACCACCGAAUUUGGUUGGUAAAUGUUGAACAAAUUCAACUGGAUGGAUCCACAAAUAUAAUAUUUACAUAUCUUGCAAGAUUUGUGAAGUCAACUCCUAGGUGGUUUUAGCUCUGAGCACAUGAAUUUCAUAGCGUUAGAUAGGAAGAGAAAUUGCUGAGAUCUACAUGAGAAUUCAACAAUAAAAAGUUACAAGUGAGGAAAUGAUUUUAUGUUUAA